UUGACAUGCUGAGAACUUUCCAGAGAUGGAUUGGUGCCUUCGGGAACUCAGACACAGGUGCUGCAUGGCUGUCGUCAGCUCGUGUCGUGAGAUGCUGGGUUAAGUCCCGUAACGAGCGCAACCCUUGUCCUUAGUUACCAGCACGUUAUGGUGGGCACUCUAAGGAGACUGCCGGUGACAAACCGGAGGAAGGUGGGGAUGACGUCAAGUCAUCAUGGCCCUUACGGCCAGGGCUACACACGUGCUACAAUGGUCGGUACAAAGGGUUGCCAAGCCGCGAGGUGGAGCUAAUCCCAUAAAACCGAUCGUAGUCCGGAUCGCAGUCUGCAACUCGACUGCGUGAAGUCGGAAUCGCUAGUAAUCGUGAAUCAGAAUGUCACGGUGAAUACGUUCCCGGGCCUUGUACACACCGCCCGUCACACCAUGGGAGUGGGUUGCUCCAGAAGUAGCUAGUCUAACCUUCGGGGGGACGGUUACCACGGAGUGAUUCAUGACUGGGGUGAAGUCGUAACAAGGUAAGCGUAGAUGA
rnacentral:rRNA from 1 species